CUGACGCUGAUGGUAAAACAUAUGUGCUCGCCGCCAUGAGGGGGUUCAUUUUUUAUUAACCUUCUUUUCCACCUGUGCACUCUUGUAGAUAUUGAAGGGUCAUCUCUCAGGCAGCAAUGCUUGGUUUGGAGUUUGCGGGCUUCAUUUAUUUGAAAUCGGCUUUCUCUGUCGACCUUUCAGUAUCUAUUUUACAUAUACCCUUGAAAUAAGUUAUAGAAGGACUUGAUUGGGCUCUAAUGCCUAUAAAUCAAUAAUACAACUUUCAGCAACGGAUCUCUUGGCUCUCGCAUCGAUGAAGAACGCAGCGAAUUGCGAUAAGUAAUGUGAAUUGCAGAAUUCAGUGAAUCAUCGAAUCUUUGAACGCACCUUGCGCUCUUUGGUAUUCCGAAGAGCAUGCCUGUUUGAGUGUCAUUAAAUUCUCAACCCACUACAUUUGUUUAUCAAGUGAAGUGCGUGUUGGAUGUGGGGGUUUUGCGGGCUUCAUUCAGUUGAAGUCGGCUCUCCUGAAAUGCAUUAGCGUGAAUCUUUGUUGAACCCGCUUCUAUUAGGUGUGAUAAUUAUCUACGCCUUUG
rnacentral:rRNA from 1 species